UACGAAGGGUGCAAACGUUGCUCGGAAUUAUUGGGCGUAAAGCGCACGUAGGCGGUCUUGUAAGUCGGAUGUGAAAUCCCUCGGCUUAACCGAGGACGUGCAUCCGAAACUGUGAGACUCGAGUAUGGAAGAGGGUCGCAGAAUUCCCGGUGUAGAGGUGAAAUUCGUAGAUAUCGGGAGGAAUACCAGUGGCGAAGGCGGCGACCUGGGCCAAUACUGACGCUGAGGUGCGAAAGCGUGGGGAGCAAACGGG
rnacentral:rRNA from 1 species